rnacentral:rRNA from 1 species
GAUGAACGCUGGCGGCGUGCCUAAUACAUGCAAGUCGAGCGAACAGACGAGGAGCUUGCUCCUCUGACGUUAGCGGCGGACGGGUGAGUAACACGUGGAUAACCUACCUAUAAGACUGGGAUAACUUCGGGAAACCGGAGCUAAUACCGGAUAAUAUAUUGAACCGCAUGGUUCAAUAGUGAAAGACGGUUUUGCUGUCACUUAUAGCUGGAUCCGCGCCGCAUUAGCUAGUUGGUAAGGUAACGGCUUACCAAGGCAACGAUGCGUAGCCGACCUGAGAGGGUGAUCGGCCACACUGGAACUGAGACACGGUCCAGGCUCCUACGGGAGGCAGCAGUAGGGAAUCUUCCGCAAUGGGCGAAAGCCUGACGGAGCAACGCCGCGUGAGUGAUGAAGGUCUUCGGAUCGUAAAACUCUGUUAUUAGGGAAGAACAAAUGUGUAAGUAACUAUGCACGUCUUGACGGUACCUAAUCAGAAAGCCACGGCUAACUACGUG